rnacentral:rRNA from 1 species
AGGACACUCUAUACGGAGUUACAAAGGACGACAUUAGACGAAUCAUCUGGAAAGAUGAAUCAAAGAAGGUAAUAAUCCUGUAGUCGAAAAUGUUGUCUCUCUUGAGUGGAUCCUGAGUACGACGGAGCACGUGAAAUUCCGUCGGAAUCUGGGAGGACCAUCUCCUAAGGCUAAAUACUCUCUAGUGACCGAUAGUGAACCAGUACCGUGAGGGAAAGGUGAAAAGCACCCCGGAAGGGGAGUGAAAUAGAACCUGAAACCGUGUGCUUACAAGUAGUCAGAGCCCGUUAAUGGGUGAUGGCGUGCCUUUUGUAGAAUGAACCGGCGAGUUACGAUUUGAUGCAAGGUUAAGCAGUAAAUGUGGAGCCGUAGCGAAAGCGAGUCUGAAUAGGGCGUUUAGUAUUUGGUCGUAGACCCGAAACCAGGUGAUCUACCCUUGGUCAGGUUGAAGUUCAGGUAACACUGAAUGGAGGACCGAACCGACUUACGUUGAAAAGUGAGCGGAUGAACUGAGGGUAGCGGAGAAAUUCCAAUCGAACCUGGAGAUAGCUGGUUCUCUCCGAAAUAGCUUUAGGGCUAGCCUCAAGUGAUGAUUAUUGGAGGUAGAGCACUGUUUGGACGAGGGGCCCCUCUCGGGUUACCGAAUUCAGACAAACUCCGAAUGCCAAUUAAUUUAACUUGGGAGUCAGAACAUGGGUGAUAAGGUCCGUGUUCGAAAGGGAAACAGCCCAGACCACCAGCUAAGGUCCCAAAAUAUAUGUUAAGUGGAAAAGGAUGUGGCGUUGCCCAGACAACUAGGAUGUUGGCUUAGAAGCAGCCAUCAUUUAAAGAGUGCGUAAUAGCUCACUAGUCGAGUGACACUGCGCCGAAAAUGUACCGGGGCUAAACAUAUUACCGAAGCUGUGGAUUGUCCUUUGGACAAUGGUAGGAGAGCGUUCUAAGGGCGUUGAAGCAUGAUCGUAAGGACAUGUGGAGCGCUUAGAAGUGAGAAUGCCGGUGUGAGUAGCGAAAGACGGGUGAGAAUCCCGUCCACCGAUUGACUAAGGUUUCCAGAGGAAGGCUCGUCCGCUCUGGGUUAGUCGGGUCCUAAGCUGAGGCCGACAGGCGUAGGCGAUGGAUAACAGGUUGAUAUUCCUGUACCACCUAUAAUCGUUUUAAUCGAUGGGGGGACGCAGUAGGAUAGGCGAAGCGUGCGAUUGGAUUGCACGUCUAAGCAGUAAGGCUGAGUAUUAGGCAAAUCCGGUACUCGUUAAGGCUGAGCUGUGAUGGGGAGAAGACAUUGUGUCUUCGAGUCGUUGAUUUCACACUGCCGAGAAAAGCCUCUAGAUAGAAAAUAGGUGCCCGUACCGCAAACCGACACAGGUAGUCAAGAUGAGAAUUCUAAGGUGAGCGAGCGAACUCUCGUUAAGGAACUCGGCAAAAUGACCCCGUAACUUCGGGAGAAGGGGUGCUCUUUAGGGUUAACGCCCAGAAGAGCCGCAGUGAAUAGGCCCAAGCGACUGUUUAUCAAAAACACAGGUCUCUGCUAAACCGUAAGGUGAUGUAUAGGGGCUGACGCCUGCCCGGUGCUGGAAGGUUAAGAGGAGUGGUUAGCUUCUGCGAAGCUACGAAUCGAAGCCCCAGUAAACGGCGGCCGUAACUAUAACGGUCCUAAGGUAGCGAAAUUCCUUGUCGGGUAAGUUCCGACCCGCACGAAAGGCGUAACGAUUUGGGCACUGUCUCAACGAGAGACUCGGUGAAAUCAUAGUACCUGUGAAGAUGCAGGUUACCCGCGACAGGACGGAAAGACCCCGUGGAGCUUUACUGUAGCCUGAUAUUGAAAUUCGGCACAGCUUGUACAGGAUAGGUAGGAGCCUUUGAAACGUGAGCGCUAGCUUACGUGGAGGCGCUGGUGGGAUACUACCCUAGCUGUGUUGGCUUUCUAACCCGCACCACUUA